UGUACAAAAACUUGUAGCUUGCUAUCCCAAAACACUGAAAGGGACUUUAUGAUUACAUUUGAUGAAGUGAAGUAUUUUUCUGUACAGGAGCUAUUAGUUUGAUUAUAAUAAGAGGAGAGUUUUAGUGGCACUCUAAUGGAAAAUUUUGGAAUUAUCUAGUAAUAUUAACAUAGAAAAUUGGACAAGCAAACAAAGAAAUGUGAAAAAAAAGCAAGACAUUAAUUCCAGGGAAAUUAAAAAAAUGAUACAGGACUAAAAACAUAAUCAUUGUUCCCAGAUGUCACGAUGAUGAGAAGAAUAAUAUUCGCUUAGAACUAAUGCAACAUGACAGUACAAAAAAGUAUCUUCUUUUGUUA